UGCAGGUGCUCACCAUGAGGGAGUCCGAUGAAGGUUGGGGUGUGGUGGUAGUUCGGCGGCGGCGAACGGGCGUGGGGAUGGAACUGCGGCGCGGCGGCGGAGCUUCACGUGUUCCGGUGCUGGCGGUGUAGCUGGCGGGCAACGGGCGGUGGGGAAAGCUGCGUGUGGGUGUUAGGCUACUAGUGUGAGCAGCAGCACUGCGCAGAGUGGGGCUCUCCACGGGGAGCUAGCGCGAUGGCGGG
rnacentral:lncRNA from 1 species